rnacentral:rRNA from 1 species
AGCGAACGCUGGCGGCAGGCUUAACACAUGCAAGUCGAGCGGGCAUCUUCGGAUGUCAGCGGCAGACGGGUGAGUAACACGUGGGAACGUACCCUUCGGUUCGGAACAACUCUGGGAAACUGGAGCUAAUACCGGAUACGCCCUUAUGGGGAAAGGUUUACUGCCGAAGGAUCGGCCCGCGUCUGAUUAGCUAGUUGGUGGGGUAACGGCCUACCAAGGCGACGAUCAGUAGCUGGUCUGAGAGGAUGAUCAGCCACACUGGGACUGAGACACGGCCCAGACUCCUACGGGAGGCAGCAGUGGGGAAUAUUGGACAAUGGGCGCAAGCCUGAUCCAGCCAUGCCGCGUGAGUGAUGAAGGCCUUAGGGUUGUGAAGCUCUUUUGUCCGGGACGAUAAUGACGGUACCGGAAGAAUAAGCCCCGGCUAACUUCGUG